rnacentral:rRNA from 1 species
UACGUAGGGUGCAAGCGUUUGUCCGGAAUUAUUGGGCGUAAAGAGCUCGUAGGCGGUCUGUCACGUCGGCUGUGAAAUCCCGAGGCUCAACCUCGGGUCUGCAGUCGAUACGGGCAAACUAGAGUAUUGCAGGGGGAGACUGGAAUUCCUGGUGUAGCGGUGAAAUGCGCAGAUAUCAGGAGGAACACCGGUGGCGAAGGCGGGGUCUCUGGGCAACAACUGACGCUGAGGAGCGAAAGCGUGGGGAGCGAACAGG